rnacentral:lncRNA from 1 species
GAGAGAGAUUAAGCCAGGGCUAGCCAGGACCAGUAUGUAGGGGUGGUCAGGUGAAUGGAGAGAUAAGCAAUUCUGUCUUAUCUGCCUCAGAGGGAGAACACUAGUUUCUUGCACUAAAAGAAGAUUAAAACCACAAUAGCCCUUCUGUGAGCCACAAACUCAUCAGUUCUGGACAUGAUAAUGCCAGGAAGCUUGAAGAGCUGUUUAGCAGCUGUUUGUCUGAAGUUCACUGGUGCUGCCCAUAUUGAAUAAGUUACAAGUUUCAGUAUGAAAAAAUAUGAAGAGAAUUCUGUGCUGCUGAGCUGGAACUGUUGACCUAGCAUGGACUUGGAUAAUCUCAGAAUCACUGAAUCAAUCAAUGAAUCCACAAGCAUUAAUCAAGUGUUCAAUCUGAGCUAGAUGGAGGCUGGACCCAGAAGAUCAAAAGGAAGGAAAAAACACAGCUUUCUACCACUUGUUGACUGUGGAAGGCCCAGGUUAGAAGAUCAGAGGAACAGUGGAGCAAUGAGGACCACAAUUAGCC